UACGUAGGUAGCAAGCGUUGUUCGGAGUUACUGGGCGUAAAGGGUGUGUAGGCGGCUCCGUAAGUUCGGUGUGAAAUCUCCCGGCUCAACUGGGAGGGUGCGCCGAAAACUGCGAAGCUGGAGCGCAGGAGAGGAAAGCAGAAUUCCUGGUGUAGCGGUGAAAUGCGUAGAUAUCGGGAGGAACACCAGUAGCGAAGGCGACACUCUGGGCCGGUACUGACGCUGAGGAGCGAAAGCGUGGGGAGCAAACAGG
rnacentral:rRNA from 1 species